AGCUGAGCAAUUAUGGGCAAGUCGAGCAAGAAAUCCGGUGUUGAGGUUGCACCUGCAGCUGUCUCGGUCCCAGAGGGCUAGUCUGCAAAGAAGGGGAAGAGAAAUGCAGAAGAUGAGAUUGAGAAGGCAGUCAGUGCGAAGAAGCAAAAGACUGUACCUGUAAAGGUUGAGCCAGUGAAGAAGCAGCCCCCUCCCAAAAAAGUUGAGAGCAGUAGCUCUGAUGAAGAUUCUUCAGACUCUGAAGAGGAGGUUAAGGUCCAGCCAAAGAAGGUUACUCAACCAAAGAAAGGCACACAACCUGCUAAAGAGGAGACCAGUGAUGAGAGCAGCGAUGAGAGCUCCUCAGAUGAUGAACCUUCCAAAAAACCAAUUGCUUCAAACAAACCUCCAGCUGCUGCUGCUGGCAGCAGCAGCAGCAGCGAUGAGAGCAGUGAUAGUGGUGAUGAUAGCAGUUCUGAUGACGAACCUGCAAAGAAGCCCACUGCCCUUACAAACAAGCCUGCUGCGGUGGUUAGUAAUGGUUCCAAAAAGGUUAUGUCUGACAGCAGCAGCUCAGAAAGCAGCUCGGACGAUGAAUCUGAUGAGGAUGAAGAGCCUGCCCCUCAGCUAAAGAAGCUGUCAGUUGCCUCCAUGCAAAAGAAUACCCAAGAAUCUGAUAGCUCUGAAAGCGAUUCCGAUGAUGAAUCAGAUGAGGAUUCACCUGUCAAAGCUCCAGUGGCUGCCAAGAAAAAGGAAGAGUCGAGUGAGAGUUCUGAAACUGAGUCCGAGGAUGAGGAUAACGAUGCUAAAACAGUAAAGCCAGCAAAGGCUGCUCCUCCUAAGAAUAAAGAAGAAUCUAGUGAUAACUCAGAAUCUGACUCCGAGUCAGAUUCGGAUUCUGAUGAACCUGAAAAACCUACUGUUGCUGCGAAAAGACCUCUAGCAACAGAUAAGAAGAACAGACAAUCCAGUGACGAAUCUGAUGAUAGUUCCGACGAGAGUUCUGAAGAAAGUGAUGAGGAGCCUCCUCAAAAGAAGCCAAAGGCCAAAACUCCUGCCAAAAGCCAAACUCAGUCUGCUGGAUCAAAGACGAUUUUUGUUGGGAAUUUAUCCUAUAGUGUAGAUCGUGAACAAGUUAAGCAAUUUUUUGAGGAGGCUGGUGAGGUUGUAGAUGUUCGUUUGUCUACUUACGAGGAUGGGAGCAUGAGGGGCUAUGGUCAUGUUGAAUUUGCUACAGCUGAAGCUGCUCAGAAGGCGCUUGAGUUUGCUAAUCAUGACCUGAUGGGACGGCUUGUGAGGGUCGACAUUGCUGUUGAGAGGGGCGCGUACACUCCUAGCAGCGGGAGGGACAACAGUUCUUUCAACAAAUCUGCUCCAAGGUCAGGCAACACUGUAUUUAUUAAAGGCUUUGACACAUCUAGUGGAGAGGACCAGAUCCGAAGCGCUCUUGAAAAACAUUUUGGCUCAUGUGGAGAGAUUGUUCGGAUUUCAAUUCCAAAGGAUUAUGAAACUGGUGCACCCAAAGGGAUGGCAUACAUGGACUUCAAGGAUCCGGAUUCCUUGAAUAAAGCAUAUGAGCUGAACGGAACUGACCUUGGUGGCUACAACUUGUACGUUGAUGAGGCGAAGCCUAGGCCUGAUAACAACAGAGAUGGUGGCUUCAGUGGUGGCAGGCGUGGAAGUUUCAGUGGUGGAAGAGGAGGGAGAAGUGACAGGGGCCGAGGUGGUGGCCGCGGACGUGACGGAGGACGAGGGGGACGUGGAUUUGGAGGAAGGGGUGGAAGGGGUGACAGAGGCCGUGGAGGCCGGGGCACACCAUACAAGCAGAGUGCUGGUACAGCUAGUACAGGAAAGAAGACGACAUUCAAUGAUGACGAGUGAAGCAUUGGCAUGCGACUAUAGUGAAAUGCGAACACCUUUUGUCUUGUACCCAGAAACUUCUAUAUGUUCUCCUAUUUCGUGCUGUGCUGCUUUGCAGUUUUUGACAUUUUCUGAACCUCUUUUUCACACAUUAGUUAUGAAAGUAUCUCGUGAACGUGUGAUAUGUGAUGGUACAUGUGCAAUGCAUUUUUAUGAUAAGGAGGCUAGUAUGUUCUUCUAUUUGGCCUU